rnacentral:rRNA from 1 species
UACGUAGGGGGCAAGCGUUGUCCGGAAUCAUUGGGCGUAAAGAGCGCGUAGGCGGCCCGAUAAGUCCGCUGUGAAAGUCAAGGGCUCAACCCUUGAAUGCCGGUGGAUACUGUCGGGCUAGAGUCCGGAAGAGGCGAGUGGAAUUCCUGGUGUAGCGGUGAAAUGCGCAGAUAUCAGGAGGAACACCAAUGGCGAAGGCAGCUCGCUGGGACGGUACUGACGCUGAGGCGCGAAAGCGUGGAGAGCAAACAGG